rnacentral:rRNA from 1 species
UACGGAGGGAGCUAGCGUUGUUCGGAAUUACUGGGCGUAAAGCGCACGUAGGCGGCGAUUCAAGUCAGAGGUGAAAAGCCCGGGGCUCAACCCCGGAACUGCCUUUGAAACUAGAUUGCUAGAAUCUUGGAGAGGCGAGUGGAAUUCCGGAGUGUAGAGGUGAAAUUCGUAGAUAUUCGGAAAGAACACCAGUGGCGAAGGCGACUCGCUGGACAAGUAUUGACGCUGAGGUGGCGAAAAGCGUGGGGAGCAAACAGG